UACGGAGGGGGCUAGCGUUGUUCGGAAUUACUGGGCGUAAAGCGCGCGUAGGCGGCUUUGUAAGUUAGAGGUGAAAGCCCGGAGCUCAACUCCGGAACUGCCUUUAAGACUGCAUCGCUAGAACGAUGGAGAGGUGAGUGGAAUUCCGAGUGUAGAGGUGAAAUUCGUAGAUAUUCGGAAGAACACCAGUGGCGAAGGCGACUUACUGGACACAUAUUGACGCUGAGGUGCGAAAGCGUGGGGAGCAAACAGG
rnacentral:rRNA from 1 species